GGGUCUGCACGCACGAGAUCCUGGAGGUGAUUGGCUCCACGCCUCGGGGCCACACCCGCCCAGACUCACUGUGGCAGCCGAGAAAAGCUGGAAAAAUACGGGAGUGCUGGCAGGUGUGGUCGAUUGUGGGCGGAGUCGGAAAUGGGGCUGCAGAGGAAGACUGGCCCUGGGAUUGAAACCCAGACACGGCAGCCAUGGGAAAAAGGGGAGGAACCACACGGUUUGGGGCUCCCUGU